CCUAAGACACAUUGAUUUACAAAGUGGCUUAAUGAGCUGCACACUGCUGCUGAAAUCAUUUACAAUCAGAAGUCAGUCAUACCCUGGCCUGCAGGCUGGUUUCUGAGUGCAACUCAGCUCAACUAUUUUCCCAUCAUAAGUGCAAUCCUUUCACAAUACAAGGAAAAUGUAGCAUUAGGAUUGCAUUCCUAACACUACAGUGCCAAUGUUCCUAGUUAAAUACAGGCCCACCCACACACACACACAUCCAUAAAAAUUAUUAAGAACGGUUUUGCUAACCUUUUCCCAGUGCUGACGCUCCAUCGGUGACUCUCACCUCUUCCAGCACCUUCUCC